rnacentral:rRNA from 1 species
GACGAACCGUCCUAACGUUGUUCGGAAUCACUGGGCUUAAAGGGCGCGUAGGCGGCUUGCCAAGUCAGGGGUGAAAUCCUGCAGCUUAACUGUAGAAGGGCCUUUGAUACUGGCGAGCUCGAGGGAGGUAGGGGUAUGUGGAACUUCCGGUGGAGCGGUGAAAUGCGUUGAUAUCGGAAGGAACGCCGGUGGCGAAAGCGACGUACUGGACCUCUUCUGACGCUGAGGCGCGAAAGCCAGGGGAGCAAACGGG